rnacentral:rRNA from 1 species
GAUGAACGCUGGCGGCGUGCCUAAUACAUGCAAGUCGAGCGAACAGACGAGGAGCUUGCUCCUCUGACGUUAGCGGCGGACGGGUGAGUAACACGUGGAUAACCUACCUAUAAGACUGGGAUAACUUCGGGAAACCGGAGCUAAUACCGGAUAAUAUAUUGAACCGCAUGGUUCAAUAGUGAAAGACGGUUUUGCUGUCACUUAUAGAUGGAUCCGCGCCGCAUUAGCUAGUUGGUAAGGUAACGGCUUACCAAGGCAACGAUGCGUAGCCGACCUGAGAGGGUGAUCGGCCACACUGGAACUGAGACAAGGUCCAGACUCCUAAGGGAGGCAGCAGUAGGGAAUCUUCCGCAAUGGGCGAAAGCCUGACGGAGCAACGCCGCGUGAGUGAUGAAGGUCUUCGGAACGUAAAACUCUGUUAUUAGGGAAGAACAAAUGUGUAAGUAACUAUGCACGUCUUGACGGUACCUAAUCAGAAAGCCACGGCUAACUACGUG